rnacentral:rRNA from 1 species
AGCAGCCGCGGUAAUUCCAGCUCCAAUAGCGUAUAUUAAAGUUGUUGCAGUUAAAAAGCUCGUAGUUGAAUUUCGGGAUUAGUACGUUGGUCGUGCCUUCGGUACGUACUGGUGUUACUGGUUCCUACCUUCUGACGAACCAUCAUGUCAUUAAUUUGGUGUGGUGGGGAUCAGGACUGUUACUUUGAAAAAAUUAGAGUGUUUAAAGCAGGCUCGCGCUUGAAUACAUUAGCAUGGAAUAAUGAAAUAGGACGUUGACCCUAUUUUGUUGGUUUCUAGGAUUGACGUAAUGAUUAAUAGGGAUAGUUGGGGGCAUUAGUAUUCAAUUGUCAGAGGUGAAAUUCUUGGAUUUAUUGAAGACUAACUACUGCGAAAGCAUUUGCCAAGGAUGUUUUCAUUAAUCAAGAACGAAAGUUAGGGGAUCGAAGACGAUCAGAUACCGUCGUAGUCUUAACCAUAAACUAUGCCGACUAGGGAUCGGAUGAUGUUAUUUUUAAUGACUCACUCGGCGCCUUACG